CUCCAUAAUAAUCUGUGCUACUUGUAUUAAAACAAGAAAGAAUGAGUUAAGAAGGUUCAAGGAAAGUUAAUCGAGUUAGUAAGAAUAUCGUUAUAUAUACAUGGUUUCCUUAAGUAUCCCAAGGCGACACGGUUACCUAAAGGGUGUGGAAUCGCGCUAUGAGUAUGUAUAUGAAGUAAUGCGAGUGACCUUUUAAAGUAUUUGAGAUUAUUAGUAAUGAUAUAGAGGGUGGACAAAAGAUAUGAAUAUACUUUUGCGAUUGGAGUUUCGUCAAAGCUUUGUGAGUUCUCUAGUUAUGUUUAAGGUUAUUGUGAGUCUCUGGACCCUUCAAGAUGUGUAUAUGGAUUUUUUUAUUGAUGUAUAUAAGUGUGUAUAUGUAUGCAUAAGAGGUUACAUAAGGUUGGAAGAGGAUUAGAAGUUAAACGAAAUGAAUCGGAACAACUUCAGUAAAAUUUCGGACCCGAUUUUAGUCUAUAUUGUAGGAGGCAUAUCUCCUUGAAUAUGAGGAGUUUUAAGGUGUUUCAAAAUCCUAAAAUGAAGUUCAUCGAGUCUAGUUUGUAAUGCAACAAACCGCUCGUCAAAAUGAUAUCGGGAUAAGGAGAUAUGGACGAUGCAAGUUGGGCUGGCAGGGCAGCAAGUUUGGACCCGACCUAAACACUCACAUUUCGGCCCAUGAGGCCCAUUAAACUCAAUAGAUAAGUCACCACUUUGCCCUAUAUCAUUUCACACGACCUAAAACAGAUCCAAAACCCUUAUUUUCUCUCCCAAACCCCCUUUCUAAUUGAGCCAUCAUAUAAGCUAAAUCCUAGACCCUUGACAUGAUAUUAGUUAAAGAGAAGUUGUAGCUUAAGUUUUUUUUUGUGUUGUUAAGCAAGCAGCUGGAAAGAGGAACAAGAUUCUUGAAGAUUCUGAUUGCUAAAGGUAAUUUCAACCUCCCACUCAUGUUAUCAAUUUGGAUUAAAGGUUUAAUAUGGUGUAUACGUGAAGGAAACGUUGAUAUACAAGCUAGAGAGAGAGAGAGCAUAAGCCAUGGCAUUCGGCCAUGGCUAGCAAAAUUGGAGCUCAAAUUUGUUGAUCCAAAAAUCAGAUUUUCUAGGUAUUUCAGCCCUUAGGAAGGUGAUAAUAACGUGGAGAAUUCAUUUGGAGCAACAAGAACAAGUAUUAGUGCAUUUCACAAAUUCUAACUAAGUGGAAAAAGCCAACUUGUUAAGACCUUGGGGAGCCCGAGGCGUAGAUUGGAAUUUACUUUAGAUUGGCUAUCUUGGAGUGCGUACGAGGUAUGUAAAGCGCAACCCUUCUUUCUUUUGGCAUGCCUUAGUUUUCAAUAGGCUAUAUCACGAGCCUCGAGGAAAUUCCAAAUUCGAAAUCCGAGCACGUUAUGAUCCUUAUAUAUAUUUCUUGGCAUUCUUAUGUAUGUUGUGAUGAAGUAUGAACAAUUAUGUCUUCGAAAGCAUUGAUUUCCAAACUUUGUACAAAAAGUUGUUUUAAAGAAUUCCGUAACUACGAAAUGCCAUAUCUUUUGCAUAAAGGCUCGGAUUGCUCCAAUAUUUUCAUAAGAGUUUGCAUGAUGUAUAAUGAGUAUGUUUUCCAUGAGCGGGCCCGAUUCGGGUCGAUACCCGUUCGUGGGUCCCGCGACUUUUCUUUAUGUAAUUCGGACGACUUUUGAAAGAAUUUGGUAUGAUUAUCAUUUCGAAUUUCAAAUAUGAUCAUUUUACUUAUGUUUGAAUUUAUGAUAAUGAUUUUAUGCAUAUGACUACUCUAUUAACUACUAAACAAAAAUUGUUUUAAAUAGUUCAUUAAGUCUUAUAAAUUGUUUUGGCCCUCGGAACGACUUCAGAAAGGUAUGCUUCUGUAAUUCAUUAUGACAUCCGAAACUCACUUAUUAUGAUCCCGUCUGACUUCAUUGAAUUGGUUUGCCAUUGAUAUGCCUCAUCGAGUCUCUGAAAAUAUUUAUGAUAUUUUAACUGCAUUUAGUUUCUCACUACUCUAUUCGUGGAUGCCCCAAUGUUUCCCACACUGAGCCCGGGCCAGGAUAUGUUGUCAAGCGUAAUCCUCUGCAUUGUUCGCCGUGCCUCGAUGUGAGGGGGCAGGUAUACGUGUACAUGGGUUUGUGGAGUAUGCUGUGUCAUGUACACAUGUUCUGAUAUGAUUUGCCAUGGCCAUCUGAUAUGAUAUACUAUGUUACGGGGUUAUGCCCCUAUUCUGAUUCUUCUGUGUUGUGGCACCAGCGUCGGGAGGGUGGCCACGUUCUGUUUGCCGAGUCCCUUGGCAGGGGCCGGAUUUGAUAUGACAUAUGUUUCUGUACACACUCCGCAUGUUUUGAAGAUAUGUAUUUGAUACUUUGGAUUUUCUACUCACUUUUUCUGUACGUUCUGUACCAGUUAUGAUUUUGGUUCUGUAAUUCAGGCUUUACAUAUUCAGUACAUAUUUCGUACUGACCCCCUUUCUUCGGGGGCUGCGUUUUCAUGCCGCGCAGGUACCGACGACAGGUUUGCUGAUCCGUCCGUCUAGGAUAUCUUUUCUGCCAUUUGGAGCGCUCUUUUAUUCAGAGCCCAUCUUUUGGUACAGUCUGUCACUACUGUAUAUAUAUAUAUAUAUUCUCGUUCAUGGGUACGGCGGGGCCCUGUCCCGUUAUAUGAUUCCGUCGGUCUGUUUAGAGGUCUGUAGACAUGUUUGUGGGUUAGGGUCUUUCUGUACGGAUGCGUGUAUAUGUUGUGUUUGGGCGAUCUCAUUCGCCGCGGCGGCCGGUCCGCAUAUGUUUAAAUGUUGCUUUGUUGGCCCUGGGUGGUCAUUGUUGGUAUUAUCUGUGCGCAGGGUUAAUUUGGAUAGUCUGUAAAACAAAGGAAACUCUGCCGAAAUUUUUCUGGAAAUUAUCUAAAUAUUGAAAUAUAGCCUUGUCGGCUUCUGCUA